UCACCCUUCAAACCUUUUUCUCUUCAUCUUUUCUAGCCUAAAUUUGUGUUCAUCAAGAAACACCUCCACCGGAGGUGUUUAUUGGCGAGUUUACCGGCGAGAAAAGAGGCAGCAGCCUCUCGAAAUCCUUCCCUGAUUAACCACCCUUCGAGAUAGCCAAACACCCUCCCUGGAUCUAUCUUGUUGCCGCCAAUCAUUUCCCUCAAGAGCUGCUGCAAAAACAGGAAGGAAAGUGGGCGAGAAAGCUGCCGGAAACAUCCCCCAACAACCCAUUUUUUGUCGACAGCCCUGUAGUGUUUUGGGUGUCGGGUCUUGAACGAAGCACAAACCUCACCAAAUCCUCCUUUCUAAACUCGAGAAUCACGCUCCAAAUGUACUCCAGUUUUCAAAUGAAAGAGCUCGGGACAAUCGCAGCGCAUACACCCGUAUUUUUCCGCAAUAUGCGAUCUUUGGGAGCGAACACUGAUAAUUGUUUUAUUUGGAACGUUUUUAAAUGUUUUGUCAAAGUUAAAAUAGUGUUUUGAUUAUAAUAAAAAUGAAAGCUUUAGCCUGGA